rnacentral:rRNA from 1 species
AGUAGGUCUUAGUGAUCCGGUGGUUCUGAAUGGAAGGGCCAUCGCUCAACGGAUAAAAGGUACUCCGGGGAUAACAGGCUGAUACCGCCCAAGAGUUCAUAUCGACGGCGGUGUUUGGCACCUCGAUGUCGGCUCAUCACAUCCUGGGGCUGAAGUAGGUCCCAAGGGUAUGGCUGUUCGCCAUUUAAAGUGGUACGCGAGCUGGGUUUAGAACGUCGUGAGACAGUUCGGUCCCUAUCUGCCGUGGGCGUUGGAAGAUUGAGAGGGGCUGCUCCUAGUACGAGAGGACCGGAGUGGACGAAUCACUGGUGUUCGGGUUGUCAUGCCAAUGGCAUUGCCCGGUAGCUAAAUUCGGAAGAGAUAACCGCUGAAAGCAUCUAAGCGGGAAACUUGCCUCGAGAUGAGUCUUCCCUGGGGCUUUAAGCCCCCUGAAGGAACGUUAAAGACUAUGACGUUGAUAGGCUGGGUGUGUAAGUGCAGCGAUGCAUUGAGCUAACCAGUACUAAUGAUCCGUGAGGCUUAACCUU